rnacentral:rRNA from 1 species
AACGCGAAGAACCUUACCUGGGCUUGAACCGCUACUGACCAACGGUAGAAAUAUCGUCUUCCCGCAAGGGACAGUAGUAGAGGUGCUGCAUGGCUGUCGUCAGCUCGUGCCGUGAGGUGUUGGGUUAAGUCCCGCAACGAGCGCAACCCUUACUCGUAGUUGCCACCCGCAAGGGGGAACUCUACGAGGACUGCUCCGGAUAACGGAGAGGAAGGUGGGGAUGACGUCAAGUCAGCACGGCCUUUAUGUCCAGGGCUACACACGUGUUACAAUGCGCGGCACAGACUGUUGCGAACCCGCGAGGGGGAGCUAAUCGGACAAAACCGCGCUCAGUUCGGAUUGCAGUCUGCAACUCGGCUGCAUGAAGCUGGAAUCGCUAGUAAUGGCGUAUCAGAUCGACGCCGUGAAUACGUUCCCGGGCCUUGUA